CCUACGGGAGGCAGCAGUGGGGAAUAUUGCGCAAUGGGCGAAAGCCUGACGCAGCGACGCCGCGUGAGGGAUGAAGGUCUUCGGAGCGUAAACCUCUGUCAGCAGGGGAGAACGAUCACUGUGCUAAUCAGCAGUGCAUUGACGGUACCUGCAAAGGAAGCACCGGCUAACUCCGUGCCAGCAGCCGCGGUAAUACGGAGGGUGCGAGCGUUAAUCGGAAUUACUGGGCGGAAAGCGCUCGUAGGCGGUAUGUCAAGUCAAGGGUGAAAUCCCCGCGCUCAACGUGGCAACUGACUUUGAACCUGGCAAACUGGAGUGUGUGAGAGGAUAGGGAAAGUGCAGGGGUACGAGUAAAUGCAG
rnacentral:rRNA from 1 species